rnacentral:lncRNA from 1 species
GUCAUUAAAAAAUCACAUUAUUUCUUUGUUUUUGCUUUUUCUAAAUAAAGGGGUCUGAACCAGCAGGUGGUCUGAAUGAAUUAUUAAGUGCACCAAUUUACGGAGGAAUUUGUUUUUCACUACAACGAUAUGAGAUCCGUAAGGGAUAAAAUUUUCAAUGACCAAAAUUGACACACAUACACGCAAUUAUUCUAUGUCAGAAAAUAAUAUAUGUUUUGUAAUAUUAAAAUAGGGAUAUCCCCUUUUUU